rnacentral:tRNA from 1 species
GGGUCGGUAGCUCAGCCGGUAGAGCACUCGGCUUUUAACCGAAUGGUCGUGGGUUCGAGCCCCACCCGACCCA